rnacentral:rRNA from 1 species
AUGAGAAAGACUAAAGAUUUGAGAAUUAUAUUUUUUGUAUCAGGACUUGAUACAUCAUGGUCUUCUUGUGCCUUGUUGUUUGGUUGGUGUAGAAUCCCUCAGCUCUUACCAAGAGGCUCUAGCUUCGAACCUGACUCUUUUAGUAGUUGGAGUGUUGCACACAUGGAAUUGAUCGCAGGUUUAGAGAGGAAGCGAAGCAGCAACAGUUUGGGUUCAGAGAAGAUUAGGAGCAGCAGUUCAUUGGAGAAGGAGAGGUACAGCAACCGAGGGCAGCAGCAGAGAGCAGAAUCAGCAGGUCAGGGGCGGCAGCAGAGGAUCAGAAGCAGAGAUGAGUUCGAUUCAAUUGCCAUUGAUAAUGAUUGA